CGAACGCUGGCGGCAGGCCUAACACAUGCAAGUCGAACGCCCAGCAAUGGGAGUGGCAGACGGGUGAGGAACACGUGGGAACGUACCUUUUUGGUUCGGAAUAACUCAGGGAAACUUGUGCUAAAUACCGGAUAAGCCCUUCGGGGGAAAGAUUUAUUGCCAAAAGAUCGGCCCGCGUCUGAUUAGCUAGUUGGUGAGGUA
rnacentral:rRNA from 1 species